CUGGUGAGUAACGCGUGAGGAACCUGCCUUCCAGAGGGGGACAACAGUUGGAAACGACUGCUAAUACCGCAUGAAACAUUUGAACCGCAUGGUUUGAAUGUCAAAGAUUUAUCGCUGGAAGAUGGCCUCGCGUCUGAUUAGCUAGUAGGCGGGGUAACGGCCCACCUAGGCGACGAUCAGUAGCCGGACUGAGAGGUUGACCGGCCACAUUGGGACUGAGAUACGGCCCAGACUCCUACGGAAGGCAGCAG
rnacentral:rRNA from 1 species